AGGGAUAUAGCUCAGUGGCACAGCAUUUGUCUGGUAAGCACAUGAUGCUGAGUUCAAUUCCUGGUCUCUUUC
rnacentral:tRNA from 1 species